rnacentral:rRNA from 1 species
GGUCAAUGGGCGCAAGCCUGAACCAGCCAUGCCGCGUGCAGGAAGACGGCCCUAUGGAUUGUAAACUGCUUUUAUUUGGGAAUAAACCUAUUUACGUGUAGAUAGCUGAAGGUACCAAAUGAAUAAGCACCGGCUAACUCCGUGCCAGCAGCCGCGGUAAU